CAGCUCUACAGUGGUGUAAUGUGAGAGUGACCUGGGUGCUGCAACACUGCCGCUGAUCUCAAAUGUACAAUGUGCCAAUUGCAUGUUAGCAGCUGGCAGGUCAGGAGCCAAGAGGCUGAAGUCCUCGAUUAUAAGCUCAGUUAGUUUUGUCGUUGGGUAAGUGAAGUCAGCCGAGGUUGUUGUAGAGGCUGGAAACUGCGGUGAUUAAGUGCCCCUCGUGGGCCAGUAGCAGCCCCAAAAGAACAGCAAGAAGGCAAGGUACAGAGUGUAAAGAGAGGUUUGAUAGGAGAGAAUGGUGAAACUAAAGGCAUGAGGACAGCUAACAGAGAGAGAGACACAGCUGUUAAAAAGCAGAAUUGGUGUGAUACGGCGAGGGAGCUUCACCAGAAGAAGAAAAACAGGGAUGCAAUUUGGCUGCGUGAUGUGCUUCAGUGUGACAGAGCCGGUGAAUCUAUUUGCAGGUUUUUUGAUUCAGUGAGAUGCUGAGAAAAGCUGAGGAAGAGUCUCCACCCACCGGCACGGACUGGGCUCCAGCAGAGAUAGAAAGAAAGGAAAGAGCCAGAGCAUCUGCAGCAGUGCAGGAACUAGUCAGGUUCACAGGAGGAGACUAUGCCCUGUAGUGUCACAAUCAGUCGGCUGGUGACUCCAGCUGAGUCAGACGUACUGUUAAAUAACAGCAGGCAUCUGGUCAGACAGCUCAGACAAAGCAGAAGGACCUUGAGGGCCUGAUGGAGACAGCAAAGGAAAAGGAAAAGGGCAAGUGUGGUUUGCAACUGUGUGUGUCAGACAGCACUGUCCUGGCUCAUCCACAUCAACCAGCUGAAUCUGGAAUUUGGGUAUUAUUUCUCUAUUUCCUUUCUUUCCACCUUCCUCUAUCACUUUUUAUGAGUGUCUCUCUAAAUCACUCAUUUUCCUGACCUUGGUUUCUCUUUUUCACAUUAUAUUCUAGUGGCCAUAAGAGAAGUUGAUUUAUUCUUUCUGUUAGUUCUUCUCUUCUUCCUCUCAACUGGUCACAGUCUCACCUCCUUACUCACGCUGAUGAGACGUCUGCCUUUAAACAACCUGCAGUCUAAUGUUGCAGCCAGUCUGAUCAGUAACCUGUAUUAUUGAACAGGUUGUGUGUGUGGUAAAUUUAACAUCAGAGUAACCCCUUCACAUGCAGUUGACCUCUUUUUUUAUGUGGUGUCUACAGUUCCCUUCAACUCUACUGAGCUUUUAGCGUCUUUCAGCUCUAUGUUUCGGUUUUAAAGUCCAUAAUGUUACUGUUUUGAUUCACUCUCACUUAACAUUGUCAUUAUAAA